rnacentral:rRNA from 1 species
ACGAACGCUGGCGGCGUGCUUAACACAUGCAAGUCGAACGGAAAGGCCCCUUUGGGGGUACUCGAGUGGCGAACGGGUGAGUAACACGUGAGUAACCUGCCCUUGACUUCGGGAUAACUUCAGGAAACUGGGGCUAAUACCGGAUAGGAAUCCUUGCUGCAUGGUGGGGGUUGGAAAGCUUCGGCGGUUUUGGAUGGACUCGCGGCUUAUCAGCUUGUUGGUGGGGUAGUGGCUUACCAAGGCUUUGACGGGUAGCCGGCCUGAGAGGGCGACCGGCCACAUUGGGACUGAGAUACGGCCCAGACUCCUACGGGAGGCAGCAGUGGGGAAUAUUGCACAAUGGGCGGAAGCCUGAUGCAGCAACGCCGCGUGCGGGAUGACGGCCUUCGGGUUGUAAACCGCUUUCAGCAGGGGCGAAGCUUGUGGUGACGGUACCUGCAGAAGAAGCACCGGCCAACUACGUG